UGGGGAAUCUUGGACAAUGGGCGCAAGCCUGAUCCAGCCAUGCCGCGUGAGUGAAGAAGGCCUUCGGGUUGUAAAGCUCUUUCAGACGGAAAGAAACGGUUACGGCUAAUACCCGUGACUAAUGACGGUACCGUAAGAAGAAGCACCGGCUAACUACGUGCCAGCAGCCGCGGUAAUACGUAGGGUGCGAGCGUUAAUCGGAAUUACUGGGCGUAAAGCGUGCGCAGGCGGUUUGGUAAGACAGAUGUGAAAUCCCCGGGCUUAACCUGGGAACUGCAUUUGUGACUGCCAGACUAGAGUGUAGCAGAGGGGGGUAGAAUUCCACGUGUAGCAGUGAAAUGCGUAGAUAUGUGGAGGAAUACCGAUGGCGAAGGCAGCCCCCUGGGCUAACACUGACGCUCAUGCACGAAAGCGUGGGGAGCAAACAGGAUUAGAUACCCUAGUAGUCCCUGAGCGGGCUGGCAAGGCGCAU
rnacentral:rRNA from 1 species